rnacentral:lncRNA from 1 species
UUCAUCUUCUAAUGAACUCCUGUGUUGUGGUGAAGUCCUUAGGACUAUUUAGACUCGACAAAGGAGGAUUUGUCGCUUAGUCCUUAAACCUGUUCGCGACCAAAUGAUACGUUGUUACCAAGGACGACAACGUUUAUCGAGCAUAGGUCGUUGUGUGCCAUAUGGGUUGGUUGUCCUUAUAACCAAAGAGUGUGGAGACACUGGUAUGGCAUACAGGUGAGAUGUAAUGGUACAUCUGCACU